CCUACGGGAGGCAGCAGUGGGGAAUAUUGCACAAUGGGGGGAACCCUGAUGCAGCGACGCCGCGUGAGUGAAGAAGUAUUUCGGUAUGUAAAGCUCUAUCAGCAGGGAAGAAGAUGACGGUACCAGACUAAGAAGCCCCGGCUAACUACGGGCCAGCAGCCGCGGUAAUACGUAGGGGGCAAGCGUUAUCCGGAUUUACUGGGUGGAAAGGGAGCGUAGACGGCAGGGCAAGUCUGGAGUGAAAGCCCGGGGCCCAACCCCGGGACUGCGUUGGAAACUGCCAUGCUAGAGUACUGGAGAGGUAAGCGGAAUUCCUGGUGUAGCGGUGAAAUGCGUAGAUAUUAGGAGGAACACCAGUGGCGAAGGCGGCUUACUGGACAGUAACUGACGUUGAGGCUCGAAAGCGUGGGGAGCAAACAGGAUUAGAUACCCUUGUAGUC
rnacentral:rRNA from 1 species